CUUCAAUGGCUUUUGUAUGAAUUCAUUCUACAGCUGCUGCUCUCAAUGUGCAGAUGAAGGACAAAGAGAUAAAACCACUGAUCCAGCUUGUGAUCAUCUCAUUGAAGAACAAACGAACAGGAGAGGAAAAGAAUUCCUUCCUCCUUGGGACAAUGGGGAAACAAACUCAAUAAAGGCAGGAGUGUAAGGAAAACACGUAAGGACAAAAUUGGUUUAAGGGAAGGAAAUGAUGGAAGAAAAUAUGCCGCAAUGUCUUAAUAUUUUGGCAUUCACAAGCUAUUGCCAAAUAUCACCAAGUGGUAGGAGUCACGGGAAGCUGCUUUAUACCAACAAGAUACAAGCCAGAUGUUUUGGACUGCAACUCCCAUCAGCUCCAGGCAGCAUAGCCAGUGGACAGGAAUGAUGGGGGAUGUAGUUGGUAACAUCUGGAAGGCACCAUGUUGGCUACCCAUAACCUAUAGAGAGUACCAGAGCAUCUCCAGGAUUUCAGCCCCCAUCCCUACCUAGAGAGAUUAGGGGUUGAACCUUGUGCAUGCAGUGCAGAUGUUCUACCACCAAGCUUUAGCCCUUCCUACUGUGGGAUACAUCAGCCUCAUAUAACCAACAUGCUUAACUCUAUUUAAUGCAUGAAGGGGUUAAGACCAUAGAGUAAGGUGUCCUGCCAGGCUUAGUUAGGUCACUCCCCCUCACCUUGGGAGGAAGGGCUACCAAACUCUUUGUUCUCUCACUUUCCACUCUUCCACCAUACCUACCUACCAGUAAGAAGGUCUAAGCUGGAUGCUCCAAUUUUGGACUGUGUGGCUUAAAGAAGCCAUCUUUGUGUCUCUAUGCAAACAAUUUAGAAACUCUUACCAUUUGGGAACCUAAGUUAGGCUGCCUGUCUUUUCUUGCUGCUGUGUGGGAAAGCACAUGAAUCUGACGUUUGAAGAGUUUGUAAGUAAGAAAUUCCGACGAAGGAAGAAUGGCAGACUAAAUUAAUGGACUAUGCAGAAUUGGACAAAAUGACAGGAAGGAUUCGAAACCUGUGGGACCAGAGAUUUACAGAAGAUUGGGAGAAGUAUAUGAAUUAUUUGAAGAGCAACUGUAAUCAACAAAUUACGCUAGUAGGACUACAAGAAGUUUUGUAAGGAGAAAUAUACGAAGUGUUACAAAGUAGAAAAAGAUAGAGAUAUUGGUUAUGAGUUUGAAAUGUAAUAUGGAAGAUAAGAAAUGCAUACUGAGAGAUUAGAUUGGAAAAUUUUCAGACAGGAUUGAUGGAAG
rnacentral:lncRNA from 1 species